CCUGAGACUUCCUGAGACUUAGAGUCUCCUGAAGGAACGUUGAAGACGACGACGUUGAUAGGCCGGGUGUGUAAGCGCAGCGAUGCGUUGAGCUAACCGGUACUAAUGAACCGUGAGGCUUAACCUU
rnacentral:rRNA from 1 species